rnacentral:rRNA from 2 species
GACGAACGCUGGCGGCGUGCCUAACACAUGCAAGUCGAACGGAGUCGGCCCCGCAAGGGACUGACUUAGUGGCGAACGGGUGAGUAACGCGUGAGCAACCUGCCUUUCAGUGGGGGACAACAGUUGGAAACGACUGCUAAUACCGCAUAAUGCAUUUUGACCGCAUGAUCGAGAUGCCAAAGAUUUAUUGCUGAAAGAUGGGCUCGCGUCUGAUUAGAUAGUUGGUGAGGUAACGGCCCACCAAGUCGACGAUCAGUAGCCGGACUGAGAGGUUGAACGGCCACAUUGGGACUGAGAUACGGCCCAGACUCCUACGGGAGGCAGCAGUGGGGAAUAUUGGGCAAUGGGGGAAACCCUGACCCAGCAACGCCGCGUGAAGGAAGAAGGCUUUCGGGUUGUAAACUUCUUUUACCAGGGACGAAGAAAGUGACGGUACCUGGAGAAAAAGCCACGGCUAACUACGUG